rnacentral:rRNA from 1 species
CAAUAGCGUAUAUUAAAGUUGUUGCGGUUAAAAAGCUCGUAGUUGGAUUUCUGUUGAGGGAGGCCGGUCCGCACUUUGUGCGUGUAUCUGGUUCUGUCUCGGCAUCCUCAUGGGGAAGGCUUCUGCGCUUGAUUGCGUGGGGUCUGAUUCAUGACUUUUACUUUGAGGAAAUUAGAGUGUUCACGGCAAGCUAUCGCUUUGAAUACAUUAGCAUGGAAUAAUAAUAUAGGGCUUAAGUUCUAUUUUGUUGGUUUCUAGGGCAUAAGCAAUGAUUAAUAGGGAUAAUUGGGGGCAUUCGUAUUAACGCGUCAGAGGUGGAAUUCUUAGAUUGCGUUACGACGAACUACUGCGAAAGCAUUUGCCAAGGAUGUUUUCAUUGAUCAAGAACGAAA